UGAGGCCUCCGACGUGACACAACAUCCUGCAGCGGUGUUGUGUGACCUGCAGUGUCCGUCGCUGGCCUCG
rfam:Penicillium nalgiovense strain IBT 13039 PENNAL_contig0042, whole genome shotgun sequence.